AGUGAACGCUGGCGGUAGGCCUAACACAUGCAAGUCGAACGGUAGCACAGUAAGAGCUUGCUCUUACGGGUGGCGAGUGGCGGACGGGUGAGGAAUACAUCGGAAUCUACUUUUUCGUGGGGGAUAACGUAGGGAAACUUACGCUAAUACCGCAUACGACCUACGGGUGAAAGCAGGGGAUCUUCGGACCUUGCGCGAUUGAAUGAGCCGAUGUCGGAUUAGCUAGUUGGCGGGGUAAGGGCCCACCAAGGCGACGAUCCGUAGCUGGUCUGAGAGGAUGAUCAGCCACACUGGAACUGAGACACGGUCCAGACUCCUACGGGAGGCAGCAGUGGGGAAUAUUGGACAAUGGGCGCAAGCCUGAUCCAGCCAUACCGCGUGGGUGAAGAAGGCCUUCGGGUUGUAAAGCCCUUUUGUUGGGAAAGAAAAGCAGCAGGUUAAUACCCCGCUGUUCUGACGGUACCCAAAGAAUAAGCACCGGCUAACUUCGUG
rnacentral:rRNA from 1 species